rnacentral:lncRNA from 1 species
CUGCCAGCGUGGAAAACCGGCCACGUGCAGGUCUGGGGCUGGGCACACACAGGGUCACACCCAGGAAGGGAUAAGCUAUGCAUUUCUAUUGAUAGAGUGGGCAGGGACCACAGGAAUUUAGAAAAUAUUAGGGCCAAGUUUACUGGGGAAAAUGUACAGGCCAGCAGAUAGCAUGGAAAAGUCCCCUCCCUGAGGAAGGGAAGCAUCUCAGAGGAGGUAAGAGACUGCUCCCAGGGCUGUGGUUAGAGCCUCCCCAACCGCAGCACGAUGCCCUUUGUCCCAUCUUCAGCAGGAGGGGCUGCUCUCCAUGGAGAUGAGGCUGACAGGGUCAGCGGAGUAGCCUGUGACAGGCAGGUUUUAAUAAGUUCAUUUUCAGCCAACCCCUGAAAUGGGUUAUUUUUGUUCCAUGGGAAUGCUCUACAUCUUCUGAAAGAUGGCACCUGGGACCCAGCCCAUGGCCUUCCUGGGGUAGGAUGUGCUGGAGAAGGAUUCUGUGGACCUGACAGAGAAGACAGAAGCCAGAGAGUAGACACCCGGAAAGAAAGAGGGAAAAGUGUGGUGGGAAGGACAGAGGGGACCCGAAGUUCCCCACGCCAGGGAAAUGACAGGGGGUUGCCAGUCUGUUUCUGAUGGUUGAGCAGUCAGGGGCCCAGAGACGCAGGAAACCCAAAAUCCUUGGUCCACCACGGGGCUGUCCUCAGGGUCUGGAGAGCAGGCCCCAUACUCCAGGCCCCCAUCCUCCAGGCCCUCGUCCCCCAGGCUCCAUCCUCCAGGCCCCCAUUCUCCAGGGCUCCAUCCUCUAGGCCCCUGUCCUCCAGGCCCCCAUCCUCUAGGCCCUCAUCCUCCAGGCUCCAUCCUCCAGGCUCCAUCCUCCAGGUUUCAUCCUUCAGGCCAUCAUCCUCCAGGCCCCCGUCCUCCAGGCCCCCAUCCUCCAGGCCCCAUCCUCCAGGCCCCCAUCUUUCAGGCCCCUGUCCUCCAGGCUCUUGUCCUCCAGGCCCUCAUCCUCCAGGCCCCUGCUCCUCCAGACCCUCAUCCUCCAGACCCUCAUCCUCCAGGCCCCCAUCUUUCAGGCCCCUGUCCUCCAGGCCCUCUUCCUCCAGACCCUCGUCCUCCAGGCCCCUGUUCCUCCAGACCCUCGUCCUCCAGACCCUCAUUCUCCAGGCCCCCGUCCUCCAGGCUCCAUCCUCCAGGGCUCCUCUGGGUCCGGGUCAAGUACCUCCAGGCUCUCUGCUGACUGUUCACCACUGGGCAACCACAGGGACUCGAUCCAUGAAAACUCUGGCAAGGUCAGUUUCCUUGUUCUACAUCCCUGUCACUUUAGUCACCAUCAUGAUAUAAGUGACUGAGUCAUUGUUUUCUCUCAUAUUCCCACCCACCUCUCCUCUCUGCUUCCUCCCCAUCAACUCGACUUCCCACCGCUCACUGCAGCCCCUUCAGGAUUCCUGCUGCGACCACCUGACCCAUGCAAAAGAGACCACUUCUCAGCCUCUCUCACUCUCCUGGCCCUGGCGGAAGCCUGUGUUGUCAUAGGCAUGCUUCCCUGGAAUCCUGCUCAGGCCCCCACGCAGGGACACUGAGUGCCCACAGAGUUGGGAAACCAUUACACGAGAUGGGACGUCUGCAAUAGAGUGGCAUCGCUAGUUGAAAGUGGAGCUGUUCACAACCUCCACAACUGUACUUGGUGGCCACGUCCCCAUCACAUGGGCUCAGACUGGGGGCUGGACAUUGACUUUGAGCCCCAAGUCUUCACCCUCAUGCAAAAACCAUCCUCCUUGGAGAUGCAGGCUGGGAAGGGCGCCAUGUCCGGAGUCCCUGCCCUGCUGUCAUCUGCCGACCUUUGUGCAGCCUGUCCCUUUCGUUAAGAAUUUCAGCACUGAGUUCACUGUGUUCCUUGUCAUGCUAAGACUUGGCCACAUCCCAGCCAUCUUCAACAUGGCGGUCGAUGUUUCAUCAAAAUUCACAGUCGCUCAGAUUUUAUUUUUCCUCAUCUCUAGGAACUUCCAUCUCCACUCCACUUCUGCCACUUCUGCCACCCUCCCAUGACCACACUCAGAACUUGAGCUCCACCUCUGAAAGAGGCAGAAUUGCCUUAUCUCACACAGUGGUGACAGCACUCUGUAAUAAUCUGCAUGGGCCAGGGCUCCUUGGUUGCAGGUAACAGAUACCACUGUUACGGCCCAACUCUGUUCUUCUAUGUUGAAGCCGGAACCCCCAGCGCCUCAGAAUGGGAUCACAUCUGGAGAAGGCGCCUUUAAAGAGAACCCAUCGUAUAAAAAGGCCAUACCUUCUGGAGGGACGUCGAUGGUAUUAGGAUAGAAGCACCAGGGGACCCCACGAACGGUGUCGUCGAAACAGCAGCCCUUAUUUGCACACUGGGAGGGCGUGACAC